rnacentral:rRNA from 1 species
GACGAACGCUGGCGGCAGGCCUAACACAUGCAAGUCGAGCGGAGCGGCGGACGGGUGAGUAAUGCCUAGGAAUUAGCCCGGUAGUGGCGGAUAACGUCCGGAAACGGGCGCUUAUACAGCAUAAUAUCAGAUCAGCUUAGGUCGGAUUAGCUAGUUGGUGGGGUAAAGGCUUACCAAGGCGACGAUCCGUAACUGGUCUGAGAGGAUGAUCGGUCACACUGGAACUGAGACACGGUCCAGACUCCUACGGGAGGCAGCAGUAGGGAAUCUUGGGCAAUGGGCGAAAGCCUGACCGAGCCAGGCCGCGUGUGUGAAGAAGGUCUUCGGAUUGUAAAACUCUUUAGGUUGGGAGGCGGUACCAACAGAGUAAGCAACGGCUAACUACGUGCCAGCAGCCGCGGUAAUUC